rnacentral:rRNA from 1 species
GUGACGAAGCGACGCCGCGUGGGUGAGGAAGGCCUUCGGGUUGUAAAGCUCUGUCAGGAGUUAAGAAAUGUAAGUGCGCUAAUAUCGCAUUUAUUUGACAAAGGCUCCAAAGGAAGCCACGGCUAACUCUGUGCCAGCAGCCGCGGUAAUACAGAGGUGGCAAGCGUUGUUCGGAAUUAUUGGGCGUAAAGAGCACGUAGGUGGGUUUGUAAGUCAGAUGUGAAAGCCUUCUGUUCAACGGAAGAAUUGCAUCUGAAACUACAAGUCUUGAGUGUAGGAGGGGAGAAUGGAACUUCUGGUGGAGCGGUGAAAUGCGUAGAUAUCAGAAGGAACGCCGGCGGCGAAAGCGAUUCUCUGGCCUAUUACUGACACUCAGUGUGCGAAAGCUAGGGGAGCAAACGGGAUUAGAUACCCCGGUAGUCCUAGCUGUAAACGAU